rnacentral:rRNA from 1 species
AAUGAACGCUGGCGGCAUGCCUUACACAUGCAAGUCGAACGGCAGCAUGACCUAGCUUGCUAGGUUGAUGGCGAGUGGCGAACGGGUGAGUAAUGCAUCGGAACGUGCCUUUUAGUGGGGGAUAACGUAGCGAAAGUUACGCUAAUACCGCAUAUUCUCUGAGGAGGAAAGCAGGGGACCUUCGGGCCUUGCGCUAGAAGAGCAGCCGAUGUCGGAUUAGCUAGUUGGUGAGGUAAAGGCUCACCAAGGCAACGAUCCGUAGCGGGUCUGAGAGGAUGAUCCGCCACACUGGGACUGAGACACGGCCCAGACUCCUACGGGAGGCAGCAGUGGGGAAUUUUGGACAAUGGGCGCAAGCCUGAUCCAGCCAUGCCGCGUGAGUGAAGAAGGCCUUCGGGUUGUAAAGCUCUUUCGGCUGGGAAGAAAUCGCACCCUCUAAUACAGGGUGUGGAUGACGGUACCAGCAUAAGAAGCACCGGCUAACUACGUG